rnacentral:lncRNA from 1 species
GAGCCUAGGAGCUGAAGGUUAUAGUGCACUAUAGUCAUCCACUGCACUCCAGCCUGGGCAACAGAGCGAGACACUGUCUCUGGAAAAAAACCACUAUGUUUUAUGGAUUGCUUUUUCAGAUGGUUAGUGAUUAUCACAACAAUACUGUGAAUUUGUUUUUAUUACAUCCCAUCACUCUCAAUCAUCCUUAUAUAAAGUAAUAAACUUAUUUUAGUACAUUUAUCUUAAUUUGUUUUAUUAUUCUUGUGAAUAUUUAGGAGUAAGCAAUGUGUUUAAAUAGAUUUUCCAGUUUGAUUUUCAGCGAUAAGUAGUAUCAACUUAUGUUUAUUUCAUUUUUAUUUUUUACUGUUAAAAACUUUAUUUUAAAAAGUUUUUUUCUUUAAAAAAUCAUAUUAACUAAUUUUUCAAAAUUUUUAUAAAUAUAAUUAGAAGACCUGGUAUUUAAUAGAAUAAGAGAGGAGUUGAAUAAAAUCUAAGCAGUGAUGUGUUGAUCAUGAAGAGGCAAUUACAGAUGACAAAACAGAAGUGAGGACAGGCAGACCAGGAAGGCUGGGAAAAGGCUGCUGGUACAGGAGAUUCAAGUAGAUAAAUACAGUGCCAGCACACAAACAGAAUAAAGAACAUGAAGUUAUAAGAAAGAGUGAUGCCUCUUUAGUUGUUGCUCAGAAUACAUUUUUACCUUUACAAUUUUGAGGUUAGAAAAGAGUUCCAGUAUAAUUGAUCAGGCUAUCACCCUGACUAAAGGAAGAGCCAGGUGUUUUGUGCUGGGUUGGGAAAAUGCUGGUAUAAAGAGGUAGAGACACCAUGCAAUUGGAGGGCAAGAGUAUUAAGAACAAAGUAAAAGAAUAAUUUGCAGAAUUUUAUUUUACUGUUAAAACCUUUUUAUUUUAAGGAGUUUAUGUCUUUUCUUUAGGACCAUCUAAAGCACCAAGUUUCUGGUAUAAAAUAGAUCCAUCCCAUACUCAAGGCUACAGAACUGUACAACUCGUGUGGAAGACAUUGCCUCCUUUUGAAGCCAAUGGAAAAAUCUUGGAUUAUGAAGUGACUCUCACAAGAUGGAAAUCACAUUUACAAAAUUACACAGUUAAUGCCACAAAACUGACAGUAAAUCUCACAAAUGAUCGCUAUCUAGCAACCCUAACAGUAAGAAAUCUUGUUGGCAAAUCAGAUGCAGCUGUUUUAACUAUCCCUGCCUGUGACUUUCAAGGUUUGUAUCUGUGAGAUGGAGCCUGACUCUUGGGUGGAAAAAUGGUGGUUAGGUAUGGACAGGGCUCCCAUAAAAAACACAAGUUAUCUAAGACUGUCUCCUCAGUAUCAGGGAUAAUCACUUGUUUAUUUUUUAAUUUUUUAAAUUUUAUAAAUAAUGAUUUUCUUUUUUUCAGAGACUGGGUCUCGCCAGGUUGCUCAGGCUGGUCUCGAACUCCUGAGCUCAAGCGAUCUCCCCUGGCCUCCCAAAGUGCUGGGAUUAACAGGCAUAUGCCACCAAACCCAGCUAGUGAUCGCAUUUUUAGGAAUCAGUCAGCAGACAAAUUUCAUCAGGAUGCAAGAACAUUUCCAUCACUACAUGCUCACUUAAACUUCACAGUAAGCUACUUCAUUCAUUUAAGCAUAUUCUGAUUACUUACCUGGUUUUUAAAAUAUUAUUUCAAGAUUUUGAGAACUUUGUAUACAUAUGACUGAAACGUUUAUCUGUAGCUUUAUUCGUAGCUUUCAAAGAAG